AGUUAUUACUUAUAUAAGAUUAUGUUUUGAAAUCAUAAUUAAAGGGUUUAAAUCCCUUAUUAACUU
rnacentral:tRNA from 1 species